rnacentral:rRNA from 1 species
AGAGUUUGAUCCUGGCUCAGAUUGAACGCUGGCGGAAUGCUUUACACAUGCAAGUCGAACGGCAGCACGGACUUCGGUCUGGUGGCGAGUGGCGAACGGGUGAGUAACAUAUCGGAACGUAUCCAAUAAUGGGGGAUAACUAAUCGAAAGGUUGGCUAAUACCGCAUACGUCCUACGGGAGAAAGCUAGGGACCUUCGGGCCUGGCGUUAAUGGAGCGGCCGAUAUCUGAUUAGCUAGUUGGUGAGGUAAAGGCUCACCAAGGCGACGAUCAGUAGCUGGUCUGAGAGGACGACCAGCCACACUGGAACUGAGACACGGUCCAGACUCCUACGGGAGGCAGCAGUGGGGAAUUUCGGACAAUGGGCGCAAGCCUGAUCCAGCCAUUCCGCGUGAGUGAAGAAGGCCUUCGGGUUGUAAAGCUCUUUCGCAAGGGAAGAAAACUUACCCUCUAACAUAGGGUGAGGAUGACGGUACCUUGAUAAGAAGCACCGGCUAACUACGUGCCAGCAGCCGCGGUAAUACGUAGGGUGCGAGCGUUAAUCGGAAUUACUGGGCGUAAAGCGUGCGCAGGCUGUUUUGUAAGUCAGAUGUGAAAUCCCUGGGCUCAACCUAGGAACUGCGUUUGAAACUACAAGACUAGAAUAUGUCAGAGGGGGGUAGAAUUCCACGUGUAGCAGUGAAAUGCGUAGAGAUGUGGAGGAAUACCAAUGGCGAAGGCAGCCCCCUGGGAUAAUAUUGACGCUCAUGCACGAAAGCGUGGGGAGCAAACAGGAUUAGAUACCCUGGUAGUCCACGCCCUAAACGAUGUCUACUAGUUGUUGGUGGAGUAAAAUCCAUGAGUAACGCAGCUAACGCGUGAAGUAGACCGCC